rnacentral:rRNA from 1 species
CUCCAGACUCCUACGGGAGGCAGCAGUGGGGGAUAUUGCACAAUGGGGGGAACCCUGAUGCAGCGACGCCGCGUGGGUGAAGGAGCGUUUCGGCGCGUAAAGCCCUAUCGGCAGGGAAGAAGGAGGACGGUACCUGACUAAGAAGCCCCGGCUAACUACGUGCCAGCAGCCGCGGGAAUACGUAGGGGGCAAGCGUUAUCCGGAUUUACUGGGUGUAAAGGGAGCGUAGACGGCAGUGCAAGUCCGGAGUGAAAGCCCGGGGCUCAACCCUGGGACUGCUCUGGAAACUGUAAAGCUGGAGUGCGGGAGGGGCAGGCGGAAUUCCUGGUGUAGCGGUGAAAUGCGUAGAUAUUAGGAGGAACACCGGCGGCGAAGGCGGCCUGCUGGACUGCAACUGACGUUGAGGCCCGAAAGCGUGGGGAGCAAACAGGAUUAGAUACCCUUGUA